UCUUGAGAGGUUACCUUUUUUUUCCUCUUAAAUAUUUCUUUUUUGCAUUUGAGAUUGUUAACGUGAUAUGGCUAAAAGAAUCACGUAAGAUCGUGAGAAGGAUUCUGGUGAACUCGUCCUCUCCGUGGGAAGAUUUCAUAUAUUCAUCAAUCUUUACCGGAAAGGGAAAAGUUUGAAUGAAGCCUUUUUUGAGGAGGGUGAAUCAUCGUUUUAUGAAAUUACGAUAAUACCCUUUUUUUAAAGGGAUAAAUUAGAUUUUCUUUUUUUCUUUCUCUCACUUGUUCGCUUUCGUUCUACUUUCUCUACGCUGACGUUUCACUUUCUUUCUACUGCUUCUACUUUCACUCUACUGCCACCGUCCUUCACCACCGGUUUCUCCGGCGAAGGCACACCAACCGAUCUUCUAUCCUUUAGAUACAAAGGCGUCUUGCACAAAAUCGAGAGGCUGCUCGCAAGAGCCAUUUGAGGAAAAAGGCAUAUGUGCAACAGUUAGAAUCAAGUCGUUUGAAGUUGGUGCGCAGUUGGAGCAAGAGCUCGAACGAGUAAGACAGCGGGGAAUGUAUAUGAGUGGUGGGUUGGAUUCGAAUAAUAUGUGUUUUGUUGGACCUGUGAAUUCAGGAAUUGCAGCCUUUGAGAUGGAGUAUGGACAUUGGGUUGACGAGCAAAACCGGCAAAUCACAUAAAUGAGAAUUGCUUUAAACGCGCAUAUUUGUGAUAUAGAGCUCAGGAUUCUAGUCGAUGGUAUGAUGAACCAUUAUACUGAAAUCUAUCGCAUGAAAUCCGCGGCUGCAAAAGAAGAUGUUUUUUAUGUCAUGUCCGACAUGUGGAAAACAACAGCUGAACGAUUUUUCAUGUGGAUAGGUGGCUUUCGCCCUUCUGAGCUUCUCAAGGUGAUUGUUCAUAUUCAAUUAUGUCAUGAAAAAUGUGUAAUAUGUAUGAUAGAAGUCUAAUUUGAUUUAAUUUUGGAUCUUGUAUAUUGGAAAAUGAAAUAUUUAGAUUAUUCAA